ensembl:lncRNA
UGCUGGCUAGCAGAGUAGAACACCUGUUUAGGAGAGGUGCUGGCUAGCAGAGUAGAACACCUGUUUAGGAGAGGUGCUGGCUAGCAGAGUAGAACAAAAGAAAAGGAGAGACGCAAACUCUAGGAGCUCAGACGCAAUAAUUUAAUAACUAACGUUUCGACAGCCAAGCUGUCUUCAUCGGGGUAAAGCUGCAAUGCUUCCCACAGUUGUCAAGUUGGCUGGAUUUCCUUUGGGUGGUGGACCAUUCUUGAUACAUGUGGGAAACUGUUGAACUCUUGACACACUCAAACCUGUGCGCCUGGCACCUACUACCAUACCCCGUUCAAAGGCACUUCAAUCUUUUGUCUUGAACAUUCACCCUCUGAAUGGUACACACACACAAUACAUGUUUCAAUUGUCUCAAGGCUUAGAAAUCCUUCUUUAACCUGUCUCCUCUCCUUCAUCUACACAGAUUAAAGUGGAUUUAACAGGCAACAUCAAUAAGGGAUCAAGACUUUCACCUGGCCAGUCUACAUGGAAAGACCAGGUGUUCUCACUUUAAAAAACAACUAAAAUAGUGAUUUUGUCAGACAGCAUAGAUGAGGAAGACUUGGAAUUAAAUAAUAGUCGUAAAAUUAAACAAAUGUAAUUUACACAACUGAAAUAUUUUAGGAAGUUAAUGUAACUAAAUGAUGGUUAAUUUAUUUUUAUUUAACUAGGUAAGUCAGUUAAGAACAAAUUCUUAUUUUCAACGACAGCCUAGGAACAGUGGGUUAGUUGCCUUGUUCAGGAGCAGAACGACAGAUUUUUACCUUGUCAGCUCGGGGAUUCAAUCUUGCAACUUUUCAGUUACAAGUCCAAUGCUCUAACCACUAGACUACCUGCCGCCCCAGGCUGCAGUAAUGGGCUGUCACUACCAUCAUGGAACUUUUAUUAAAUGUUUUAUUCUGUAUUGGUAUAGCAUUCAACCCACAUAAUGCAUAGUGCAUUUCAUGUUUUAAAAAAUUAUCGAAAUCGAAAACCCUGAUUAUUUUUUAAUAAUGGAACUGAAACCGACCAACCUCAAAAAGCACUAAUCGCUCAGCACUGCUCUAUUUCCAAAGCAGCACCCAUCAACCCUUACCACCCUCACCUCUGUUUUCACCCACACCUUCCUCCCAUUAUCCCCUUCUCCUCCAUGUUCUCUCCAUCCUCAUCUCUCCAUGAUAGUCCUAACCAACCCUAACCCAUCCUCAAGCAAACAUAGCCAGUGGACCUGUGGAGUAUUUAACAUAUAGGCACUGGCCACCAGAUAGAACAUGGACACUGGCCACCAGAGGGAACAUGGACACUGGCCACCAGAGGGAGCAUAGACACUGGCCACCAGAUAGAACAUGGACACUGGCCACCAGAGGGAGCAUGGACACUGGCCACCAGAUAGAACAUGGACACUGGCCACCAGAGGGAGCAUAGACACUGGCCACCAGAUAGAACAUGGACACUGGCCACCAGAGGGAACAUGGACACUGGCCACCAGAGGGAGCAUAGACACUGGCCACCAGAUAGAACAUGGACACUGGCCACCAGAGGGAGCAUGGACACUGGCCACCAGAUAGAACAUGGACACUGGCCACCAGAGGGAGCAUAGACACUGGCCACCAGAUAGAACAUGGACACUGGCCACCAGAGGGAACAUGGACACUGGCCACCAGAGGGAGCAUAGACACUGGCCACCAGAGAGAACAUGGACACUGGCCACCAGAUAGAACAUGGACACUGGCCACCAGAGGGAACAUGGACACUGGCCACCAGAGGGAACAUGGACACUGGCCACCAGAGGGAGCAUAGACACUGGCCACCAGAGGGUACAUGGACACUGGCCACCAGAGGGAGCAUAGACACUGGCCACCAGAGGGAGCAUGGACACUGGCCACCAGAGGGAGCAUGGACACUGGCCACCAGAGGGAGCAUGGACACUGGCCACCAGAUAGAACAUGGACACUGGCCACCAGAGGGAACAUGGACACUGGCCACCAGAGGGAACAUGGACACUGGCCACCAGAGGGAGCAUAAACACUGGCCACCAGAGGGAGCAUGGACACUGGCCACCAGAGGGAGCAUGGACACUGGCCACCAGAGGGAGCAUGGACACUGGCCACCAGAGGGAACAUGGACACUGGCCACGAGAGGGAACAUGGACACUGGCCACCAGAGGGAACAUGGACACUGGCCACCAGAGAGAACAUGGACACUGGCCACCAGAGAGAACAUGGACAGUGGCCACCAGAGAGAACAUGGACAGUGGCCACCAGAGAGAACAUGGACAGUGGCCACCAGAGAGGACAUGGACACUGGCCACCAGUGGGGACAUGGACACUGGCCACCAGAGAGAACAUGGACACUGGCCACCAGAGAGAACAUGGACAGUGGCCACCAGAGAGAACAUGGACAGUGGCCCCCAGAGGGAACAUGGACAGUGGCCACCAGAGGGAACAUGGACACUGGCCACGAGAGGGAACAUGGACACUGGCCACGAGAGGGAACAUAGACACUGGCCACCAGAGAGAACAUGGACAAUUCCCUACAGUUACACCUCUCAGUUCCUUUCUCUCUCAGUUCCUCUCUGUCUCAGUUCCUCUCUGUCUCAGGUCCUCUGUCUCAGUUCCUCUCUGUCUCAGUUCCUCUCUGUCUCAGUUCCUCUCUGUCUCAGUUCCUCUCUGUCUCAGUUCCUCUCUGUCUCAGUUCCUCUCUGUCUCAGUUCCUCUCUGUCUCAGUUCCUCUCUGUCUCAGUUCCUCUCUGUCUCAGGUCCUCUGUCUCAGUUCCUCUCUGUCUCAGUUCCUCUCUGUCUCAGUUCCUCUCUGUCUCAGUUCCUCUCUGU